rnacentral:rRNA from 1 species
GAUGAACGCUAGCGGCAGGCCUAACACAUGCAAGUCGAGGGGCAGCAUUAGUAGUUUACUAUUAGAUGGCGACCGGCGUACGGGUGCGUAACACGUAUGGAACCUACCCUUGUUAGGGGGAUAGCCCGAGGAAACUCGGAUUAAUACCCCAUGGUAUUUAAGAUUCGCAUGGAUUUUAGAUUAAAGAAUUUCGAACAAGGAUGGCCCUGCGUACCAUUAGCUAGUUGGUAAGGUAAUGGCUUACCAAGGCAACGAUGGUUAGGGGCCCUGAGAGGGGGAUCCCCCACACUGGUACUGAGACACGGACCAGACUCCUACGGGAGGCAGCAGUGAGGAAUAUUGGACAAUGGGCGGGAGCCUGAUCCAGCCAUGCCGCGUGCAGGAUGACUGCCCUAUGGGUUGUAAACUGCUUUUAUACGAGAAGAAUCUUUCGCUACGUGUAGUGAAUUGACGGUAUCGUAUGAAUAAGGACCGC